rnacentral:rRNA from 1 species
GACGAACGCUGGCGGCGUGCUUAACACAUGCAAGUCGAACGGUAAGGCCCUUCGGGGUACACGAGUGGCGAACGGGUGAGUAACACGUGGGUGAUCUGCCCUGCACUUCGGGAUAAGCCUGGGAAACUGGGUCUAAUACCGGAUAGGACUCCUGCCUGCAUGGGUGGGGGUGGAAAGCUUUUGCGGUGUGGGAUGGGCCCGCGGCCUAUCAGCUCGUUGGUGGGGUGAUGGCCUACCAAGGCGACGACGGGUAGCCGGCCUGAGAGGGUGACCGGCCACACUGGGACUGAGAUACGGCCCAGACUCCUACGGGAGGCAGCAGUGGGGAAUAUCGCACAAUGGGCGCAAGCCUGAUGCAGCGACGCCGCGUGAGGGAUGACGGCCUUCGGGCUGUAAACCUCUUUCAGCACAGACGAAGCGCAAGUGACGGUAUGUGCAGAAGAAGGACCGGCCAACUACGUGCCAGCCGCCGCCGUAA